rnacentral:rRNA from 1 species
ARAMRRAWAGAAGUGCUAAGUGUUGGAGGGUUUCCGCCCUUCAGUGCUGCAGCUAACGCAUUAAGCACUCCGCCUGGGGAGUACGACCGCAAGGUUGAAACUCAAAGGAAUUGACGGGGGCCCGCACAAGCGGUGGAGCAUGUGGUUUAAUUCGAAGCAACGCGAAGAACCUUACCAGGUCUUGACAUCCUUUGACCACUCUAGAGAUAGAGCUUCCCCUUCGGGGGCAAAGUGACAGGUGGUGCAUGGUUGUCGUCAGCUCGUGUCGUGAGAUGUUGGGUUAAGUCCCGCAACGAGCGCAACCCUUAUUGUUAGUUGCCAYCAUUCAGUUGGGCACUCUAGCAAGACUGCCGGUGACAAACCGGAGGAAGGUGGGGAUGACG